UGAGGAAUAUUGCGCAAUGGGGGCAACUCUGACGCAGCAACGCCGCGUGAGUGAGGAAGGUUUUCGGACCGUAAAGCUCUGUCGAGAGGGAAGAAAUGUAUCGUGGCUAAUAUCCAUGAUAUUUGACGGUACCGCUAAAUGAAGCACCGGCUAACUCCGUGCCAGCAGCCGCGGUAAUACGGGGGGUGCAAGCGUUGUUCGGAAUUAUUGGGCGUAACGAGCGUGUAGGCGGCUGAAUAAGUCAGAUGUGAAAUCCCUGGGCUUAACCCAGGAAGUGCAUUUGAAACUAUUCAGCUUUAGUAGGGGAGAGGAAGGUGGAAUUCCUGGUGUAGAGGUGAAAUUCGUAGAUAUCAGGAGGAACACCGGUAAGCCUGGAUCUUGAAGAGACACUCAUAGCACUGGCGAUUGGAGCUGCUGCAAAUCCAAGCGCGGAAGCUGCCGUUCUGAAAU
rnacentral:rRNA from 1 species